UGAUUUCACCUUCUUUAUUAGCAGUGCAGUGACCUCUCACCCCACAAUGGCGUGGGUUCAUUUACCAACAAUUACAAAUCACAUCACGGACACACGGGUCUAUGGAUCUUUCAGUAUGGCGUCUUACUGCGGAGAGACACAUUGACAGGAAGCAAACAGGAAGUGGGGAACAGAAAUCAGCUGAGAGGAAGGAAGGAGUUGAACAUUGUGUUUAUACGGUGAAGAGAACGUGACCUGGGAUAGAAGGUGAGUGGACAGAGACGAUCCCAUGAUGCCGUUCAGCCAGACAGAUCCCAGUUUACAGCUUCCAGCAGGGGGGAGGAAAUGACCACAACACAGGAAGUUACAUAGCAGCUCUUCCUCUUCCUAUUGGUUGAGAGGGCAUUGACCUCCACUGUGGAGAGUUAAGGUCCUACCUAUGAGCAGUGGAUCAGACCAUAGCUGAUUACUGACCCCACUCGUCUCUCUCAGGUCCAGUCCCGUCCCCCUCAGGUCCAGUCCCGUCCCCCUCAGGUCCAGUCCCGUCCCCCUCAGGUCCAGUCCCGUCCCCCGUCCCCCUCAGGUCCAGUCCCCAGUCUCUCUCAGGUCCGGUCCCGUCCCCACCAGAGCCAGCCAGUCAGUGCCGCGUGGCCUCUAUCGCCUCCUGGUGGACAGAGUGGAGGUAGUACGGCUCAGGCUGAGCCCAGGGAAGUGAACUGUAGGGGUUCUGGGUGUGGGACCGUAGAGACCCAGGUUACGGGCUGCAGAUGAACGUCUGUGCUGUUUCACACUCGGGAAGGGAGAGAACACCUGACGGGAGGUGGUCCUGGGAUGGUCCUGGGGCACGGAGGGGCAGGAGAGAGGGAGGGAGGGGGUAACGGGGCUGUGGGGGUUAGAGGUGGUCCUGGGAUGGUCCUGGGGCACGGAGGGGCAGGAGAGAGGGAGGGAGGGGGUAACGGGGCUGUGGGGGUUAGAGAGGGUAACGGGGCUGUGGGGGUUAGAGAGGGUAACGGGGCUGUGGGGGUUAGAGAGGGUAACGGGGCUGUGGGGGUUAGAGAGGGUAACGGGGCUGUGGGGGUUAGAGAGGGUAACAGGGCUGUGGGGGUUAGAGAGGGUAACGGGGCUGUGGGGGUUAGAGAGGGUAACAGGGUUACCAGGGGAGCAUCUCAUACAGUAGAUGUUCUGAUAGGAGACUGAAGGGUCGGACUGUUGACCGUGGAGGUGUGAUGAGGAUGGUCGAGGAAGAGGAGGCAGGACAGGCAGCUCUGGGAUGGAGGGAGAGGAGGGCGGCGCGUCCGGGUCAGAGGAGGGCGGCGCGUCCGGGUCAGAGGAGGGCGGCGCGUCCGGGCCAGAGGAGGGCGGCGCGUCCGGGCCAGAGGAGGGCGGCGCGUCCGGGCCAGAGGAGGGCGGCGCGUCCGGGCCAGAGGAGGGCGGCGCGUCGGG
rnacentral:lncRNA from 1 species